AAUUCAGGUAUUCGAUGUAGCUACGUACGAGCAUGCCAGAGUUCAUAUUCAAGACCGAAGUAGAUCACGCAUCGAAUCCGUCGUAGUCCAUCUUAACUAGCCGACUAGAUGAAUGAAACCUCACCCAUUCAGUACCUAAGAGAAAUCAAGUCCUUGGUUCCGCGGAGUACGUCCGCAGACUGAACCUUAAAGAAUUGACCGAAGGCCCCCCCCAGGAGGGGAGCUGCGGCUUAAUUUGACCCCAACCACGGAAACCUACCAGUCCAGACAUAGUACGGAUGACAGAUGAUAGCUCUUUCAUGAUUAAUAGGAGUGGUGGUGCAUGCCGUUCUUAGUUGGUGGAGUGAUUGUCUGUUAUUUCUUUUUUCGCACGAGACCUUACUGCUAACUAGAAAUUUUCAUUUUAUGAAUAUAUCUUCUUAGAGGGACUAUAUGCUUUAAGUAUAUGGAAGUUUGAGGCAAUAACAGGUCUGUGAUGCCCUUAUAUGUAAAAAAGCAAAAACAAAAAACUACACUGAUAUAUACAACAAGUGCCUAGCUGGAUAUAGUAUGGCAAUCUCGAAUAUAUAUCGUGAUGGGGAUAGAUCUUUGCAAUUAUAGAUCUUGAACGAGGAAUUCCUAGUAAGUGCAAGUCAUCGUCUUGCAUUGAUUAUGUCCCUGCCCUUUGUACACACCGCCCGUCUGCUCCUUUCCGAUACCGGGGGAGCAGGGAAAAAACUUUUGGACCUUAAUAGGAAAAAUAAGUAAACCUAUCACCUAGAGGAAGGAGAAGUCGUCCAAGGUUCCUAUACCUGCAGAAGGACAUAACGG
rnacentral:rRNA from 1 species